GACGAACGCUGGCGGCGUGCUUAACACAUGCAAGUCGAACGGAAAGGCCCUGCUUUUGUGGGGUGCUCGAGUGGCGAACGGGUGAGUAACACGUGAGUAACCUGCCCUUGACUUUGGGAUAACCUCAGGAAACUGGGGCUAAUACCGGAUAGGAGCUCCUGCUGCAUGGUGGGGGUUGGAAAGUUUCGGCGGUUGGGGAUGGACUCGCGGCUUAUCAGCUUGUUGGUGGGGUAGUGGCUUACCAAGGCUUUGACGGGUAGCCGGCCUGAGAGGGUGACCGGCCACAUUGGGACUGAGAUACGGCCCAGACUCCUACGGGAGGCAGCAGUGGGGAAUAUUGCACAAUGGGCGGAAGCCUGAUGCAGCAACGCCGCGUGCGGGAUGACGGCCUUCGGGUUGUAAACCGCUUUCGCCUGUGACGAAGCGUGAGUGACGGUAAUGGGUAAAGAAGCGCCGGCUAACUACGUG
rnacentral:rRNA from 1 species